rnacentral:rRNA from 1 species
AACGUACGCUGGCGGCACGCCUAACACAUGCAAGUCGAACGAAGUAGCAAUACUUAGUGGCAGACGGGUGAGUAACAUGUAGGUAUCUACCCUUUGGCCUGGAAUAACACGAGGAAACUUGUGCUAAUACCGGAUAAGUCUUUACGGAGAAAGCUUUAUGCACCAUUGGAUGAGCCUGCACUUGAUUAGUUUGUUGGUGGGGUAAUGGCCUACCAAGACUGUGAUCAAUAGCUGAUUUGAGAGGAUGAUCAGCCACAUUGGGACUGAGACACGGCCCAAACUCCUACGGGAGGCAGCAGUGGGGAAUCUUGCACAAUGGAGGAAACUCUGAUGCAGCGAUGCCGCGUGAGUGAAGAAGGCCCUUGGGUUGUAAAGCUCUUUCGUCGGGGAAGAAAAUGACUGUACCCGAAUAAGAAGGUCCGGCUAACUUCGUGCCAGCAGCCGCGGUAAUACGAAGGGACCUAGCGUAGUUCGGAAUUACUGGGCUUAAAGAGUUCGUAGGUGGUUGAAAAAGUUAGUGGUGAAAUCCCAGAGCUUAACUCUGGAACUGCCAUUAAAACUUUUCAGCUAGAGUAUGAUAGAGGAAAGCAGAAUUUCUAGUGUAGAGGUGAAAUUCGUAGAUAUUAGAAAGAAUACCAAUUGCGAAGGCAGCUUUCUGGAUCAUUACUGACACUGAGGAACGAAAGCAUGGGUAGCGAAGAGGAUUAGAUACCCUCGUAGUCCAUGCCGUAAACGAUGUGUGUUAGACGUUGGAAAUUUAUUUUCAGUGUCGCAGGGAAACCGAUAAACACACCGCCUGGGGAGUACGACCGCAAGGUUAAAACUCAAAUGAAUUGACGGGGACCCGCACAAGUAGUGGAGCAUGUGGUUUAAUUCGAAGAUACGCGCAGAACCUUACCAACACUUGACAUGUUCGUCGCGACUUUAAGAGAUUAAAGUUUUCGGUUCGGCCGGACGAAACACAGGUGCUGCAUGGCUGUCGUCAGCUCGUGUCGUGAGAUGUUGGGUUAAGUCCCGCAACGAGCGCAACCCUCACUUUUAGUUGCCAUCAUUAAGUUGGGCACUCUGAAAGAACUGCCAGUGAUAAGCUGGAGGAAGGUGGGGAUGACGUCAAGUCCUCAUGGCCCUUACGUGUUGGGCUACACACGUGCUACAAUGGUAUCUACAACAGGAAGCAAGACUGCGAAGUUAAGCAAAUCCCUAAAAGAUACCUCAGUUCGGAUUGCACUCUGCAACUCGAGUGCAUGAAGCUGGAAUUACUAGUAAUCGUGGAUCAGCGUGCCACGGUGAAUGCGUUCCCGGGUCU